rnacentral:rRNA from 1 species
AGAGUUUGAUCCUGGCUCAGAUUGAACGCUGGCGGCAUGCCUUACACAUGCAAGUCGAACGGCAGCACGGAGCUUGCUCUGGUGGCGAGUGGCGAACGGGUGAGUAAUAUAUCGGAACGUACCCUAGAGUGGGGGAUAACGUAGCGAAAGUUACGCUAAUACCGCAUACGAUCUAAGGAUGAAAGUGGGGGAUUCGCAAGAACCUCAUGCUCGUGGAGCGGCCGAUAUCUGAUUAGCUAGUUGGUAGGGUAAAAGCCUACCAAGGCAUCGAUCAGUAGCUGGUCUGAGAGGACGACCAGCCACACUGGAACUGAGACACGGUCCAGACUCCUACGGGAGGCAGCAGUGGGGAAUUUUGGACAAUGGGCGAAAGCCUGAUCCAGCAAUGCCGCGUGAGUGAAGAAGGCCUUCGGGUUGUAAAGCUCUUUUGUCAGGGAAGAAACGGUGAAAGCUAAUAUCUUUUGCUAAUGACGGUACCUGAAGAAUAAGCACCGGCUAACUACGUGCCAGCAGCCGCGGUAAUACGUAGGGUGCAAGCGUUAAUCGGAAUUACUGGGCGUAAAGCGUGCGCAGGCGGUUUUGUAAGUCUGAUGUGAAAUCCCCGGGCUCAACCUGGGAAUUGCAUUGGAGACUGCAAGGCUAGAAUCUGGCAGAGGGGGGUAGAAUUCCACGUGUAGCAGUGAAAUGCGUAGAUAUGUGGAGGAACACCGAUGGCGAAGGCAGCCCCCUGGGUCAAGAUUGACGCUCAUGCACGAAAGCGUGGGGAGCAAACAGGAUUAGAUACCCUGGUAGUCCACGCCCUAAACGAUGUCUACUAGUUGUCGGGUCUUAAUUGACUUGGUAACGCAGCUAACGCGUGAAGUAGACCGCCUGGGGAGUACGGUCGCAAGAUUAAAACUCAAAGGAAUUGACGGGGACCCGCACAAGCGGUGGAUGAUGUGGAUUAAAUCGAUGCAACGCGAAAAACCUUACCUACCCUUGACAUGGCUGGAAUCCUUGAGAGAUCAGGGAGUGCUCGAAAGAGAACCGGUACACAGGUGCUGCAUGGCUGUCGUCAGCUCGUGUCGUGAGAUGUUGGGUUAAGUCCCGCAACGAGCGCAACCCUUGUCAUUAGUUGCUACGAAAGGGCACUCUAAUGAGACUGCCGGUGACAAACCGGAGGAAGGUGGGGAUGACGUCAAGUCCUCAUGGCCCUUAUGGGUAGGGCUUCACACGUCAUACAAUGGUACAUACAGAGCGCCGCCAACCCGCGAGGGGGAGCUAAUCGCAGAAAGUGUAUCGUAGUCCGGAUUGUAGUCUGCAACUCGACUGCAUGAAGUUGGAAUCGCUAGUAAUCGCGGAUCAGCAUGUCGCGGUGAAUACGUUCCCGGGUCUUGCACACACCGCCCGUC